CGGUCCAGACUCCUACGGGAGGCAGCAGUGGGGAAUAUUGCACAAUGGGCGCAAGCCUGAUGCAGCCAUGCCGCGUGUGUGAAGAAGGCCUUCGGGUUGUAAAGCACUUUCAGCGGGGAGGAAGGCGGUGAGGUUAAUAACCUCAUCGAUUGACGUUACCCGCAGAAGAAGCACCGGCUAACUCCGUGCCAGCAGCCGCGGUAAUACGGAGGGUGCAAGCGUUAAUCGGAAUUACUGGGCGUAAAGCGCACGCAGGCGGUCUGUCAAGUCGGA
rnacentral:rRNA from 1 species